UACGUAGGGUCCGAGCGUUGUCCGGAAUUAUUGGGCGUAAAGGGCUCGUAGGCGGUUUGUCGCGUCGGGAGUGAAAACUUACAGCUUAACUGUGGGCUUGCUUUCGAUACGGGCAGACUUGAGGCAUGCAGGGGAGAACGGAAUUCCUGGUGUAGCGGUGAAAUGCGCAGAUAUCAGGAGGAACACCGGUGGCGAAGGCGGUUCUCUGGGCAUGUUCUGACGCUGAGGAGCGAAAGUGUGGGGAGCGAGCAGG
rnacentral:rRNA from 1 species